GUGCCAGCAGCCGCGGUAAUACCGGCAGCCCGAGUGAUGGCCGAUCUUAUUGGGCCUAAAGCGUCCGUAGCUGGCUGCGCAAGUCCGUCGGGAAAUCCACCCGCCCAACGGGUGGGCGUCCGGUGGAAACUGGCUGGCUUGGAACCGGAAGGCUCAGAGAGUACGUCCGGGGUAGGAGUGAAAUCCCGUAAUCCCGGACGGACUACCGAUGGCGAAAGCACUUCGAGAAAACGGAUCCGACAGUGAGGGACGAAAGCUGGGAUCUCGAACCGGAUUAGAAACCCGUGUAGUCC
rnacentral:rRNA from 1 species